ACGAACGCUGGCGGCGUGCUUAACACCUGCAAGUCGAACGGAAAGGCCCCUUUGGGGGUCCUCGAGUGGCGAACGGGUGAGUAACACGUGAGUAACCUGCCCUUGACUUCGGGAUAACUUCAGGAAACUGGGGCUAAUACCGGAUAGGAAUCCUUGCUGCAUGGUGGUGGUUGGAAAGCUUCGGCGGUUUUGGAUGGACUCGCGGCUUAUCAGCUUGUUGGUGGGGUAGUGGCUUACCAAGGCUUUGACGGGUAGCCGGCCUGAGAGGGCGACCGGCCACAUUGGGACUGAGAUACGGCCCAGACUCCUACGGGAGGCAGCAGUGGGGAAUAUUGCACAAUGGGCGGAAGCCUGAUGCAGCAACGCCGCGUGCGGGAUGACGGCCUUCGGGUUGUAAACCGCUUUCAGCAGGGGCGAAGCUUGUGGUGACGGUACCUGCAGAAGAAGCACCGGCUAACUACGUG
rnacentral:rRNA from 1 species